UUAGGCCGGUCCACCCGGGAUCGCAGCCCGAUCCACGGGGGUCACCCAGACCUGGUAUGAAUCCAAGGCCAGAAGAGAACGCGUCUUCGGUUAAGCCCGGUCAGGCUUCUUCCCCGGCCUAAUCCUCGCGUCCCCCCGACCCUGGCCUGGGAUCCAACCCACACCUGCGACCGUGUGGAUCGAACUCACGCCUCCCCGAGCGAGCAGGUAGGGGGCGGCGCUCUCCUAGGGUUUCUUGGAGCAGGUUCGCCGGUCCGAUUCUUGAUCCGCAUACUCGGCGGGUUCUUGAUUCGUGGGUACUCAGCGGCUCCGCUCGAGGCUGCGCACGUCGGCUUUGGCGCUGGAUGGGUAGGCCAUGGAACAAAUCCUCGCGACGCGGAGGCGAGCGCUGGCGGCGCUGCCGCGGCGGCUCAGACGCGACUGAGACGUGACGCUCUUCACUCUGGCAUCCCUCCCCUUCGGUCAACUUCGCGCCGAUCUCCUCGAGUUUGAAGCACCAGUACAAGUACGACAAAAGCCAUAUUGCUUUUAUUUGCUCGGAUGUGGUCCCUUUGCAUAAUUUGUUUCUUCUAUAUCAUUUAUCCGCUGGAGCUUGCAAUUUUUAAUAAUCUAUAUGGGAACAAGGGAUCCAGGUGUACUGAUCAACUUAUUUGAGCUUCUUCUAAUCUGAUACUGAGUUCUUCUAAUCUGAUCCAGGUGUACUGACCUACCAUGGUGCAUGCAUCCUGAAUUUGGUUUGUAUAAAUACUUUAGUAGAUAACCUGAUACUUACAAAUUUGAAGAACACUAGGAUGGAUUUUUAGUAGAAAUUGGCCUCUUUAAAUCUGAAAUACUAUCUACGGAUAAAGCAAAGGAUACUUGCUUUGUAACACUAGUAUCUUUUUCUGUAGUGGCACCGCUUCGUAACCCUGCAUAACUGAAUCUUGAGCUCUCGAUUAAAAAAUAACAAGAACCCUACUCGUGUUAGAACUCUAUUUUUCUGACUUAUGUUGGAGCCAGCUAAUUCUCAUGCUCAGCGUGAGAACCAUGUUUCCUGCAGUAUAUUUUUGCGAAAUAUGUUUCAUGGCACAUGAUACUAGUGUAAAUUUAUGAGCAUUUCCUUUUCUGGAGAUGAAUAAAUUAAAAAGUUAAUAAUGUUCGUUUCAAUCAGUUAUUGAACUUACUUGACUGAUCAAUAUCACUGGUUUUAUAUAUCAGAUGUUGACCUUCUAUGUUGAAGCAUGUACUGAAGUACUGAACGUUACUUGGUGGUGGUAGGAGUCUGCCAAGGUCAAGGCUGCUGGCAUGGCUUGUUAACAAGAUCAUGAUCUCGGAUAGGGACUACACCAAGUUUCAUAACUUCUUAAACUGGCUCCCUCAGGAUUAUUACCUUCUCUGUUUAGAUAAAAAUUCAUUGUGUAGUUAAAAUACAUUGCUCUCAGCACUUGUCUCGACACCGCAUGGCGUGCCAUCGAACCGAAGCACAGGUUGCAGCUGCGCCGGCCAUCUGCUUGUCUUCAGUUUGCUGUUUGCUAUUUCUCGUGAGACUUAUGGCCUGGACGAUGAUAGAAUCUUUAGCUAGUCUUGGCACAUUUUUUUUCUCCCAAAACAGGUGCGUGUACCGCCACUGGAGAACAACUACUUGUAUUGUGGAUUUAUUUAAUCUAGCUUGCAAUUGUGAGUCUGUACAAUCGGGUUUGCAU